UGACCCCUCUGCUGCUGUUCUUUAGGCUUGAUGUUCGUUUGGCUCAUGUCAUAGUCUAGCUGACAUAACCAGUGCUUUGAGAGCGAACAUCUCCUCUCGCAGAUAGAGUCCUCCUAAACCUGAGCUUGCCUGUGCAAAUCGUCUCGUCUACCAUUCCAAGCGAUGUACAUGGCUUCAUUGCGAAUUUUGCACCGUCUUUGCAAGUCACCAUUACACUUACCGUGGUGUGAAAGAAUGCUACGGUUGUAGACAUCCAGUUGCAGCUCAAGCCAGAGAGCAGCCAGCAUUCUGCUGGUGUAUGUGAGCAACAGUUGCUGUUGGAAUUGUCCAUUGCAGAGAACAGCUUUCCUGACCUUCCAUAUGUCACGUGAUCCAGUCCGUGCAGCCGCUAGACCUGUGUGGAUGGAUGCAGCAGCUGUCCUGCAUUGUGACUAUAGACCUUUGAGGGUAUCAUGGAUAUGGAGUCUGCUCCUGCAAUAUUGCCCGUGUACAUGGUGAUGGUCGCCUAGUAGCUAGCCCAGCAGAUGUAUCAGAACCAGCAGAUACGGCAGCUGAGCUAGCCAUAGCUACCACUGCAACAGACUCAGCAGGAAGAGCAGUUGCCAUUGCAGCUAACACUGCAGCAGACACAGUGACAAGAGCAGUUGCCAUGGCAGCAACCACUGACUGAAACAGACACAGCAGCAAGAACAGUGGCCAUGGUAGCAACAAACACCGCAUCUGCUGCACCAGACAGUGUCUGUAUUCAUUUGAAAACUAGUGGGCAGACUGCUCACAGCAGCAAUGCCAAGCAUCAGUAAGAGCGGCUCAGUCUUCAGCAGCAGUAAACAGCAUGCAGUACACUUCACAAAGUGAGCACCUUAGCAAGAAAGAUGUUGUUUUUCUUCUUCUUUUUUCCACACACCGAGCAGCAGUGGAAAUGUUGCAUCCCUGUUUGCACAUGCCAAUUGACUGGUUCGAAGUAUGUGAGCCCAUGGUAUCCAUCAAAUCGCUGAAAACUUUUGGACAUCUCUGCCUUUCUGUCAUACUUUGGCGAAAGCUUCAUUUUAGUUUCGACUCUCAGACCCAGAUUCCGUCUGUUGGAGUGCGCAUCCAAGACAGGCUAUAGCUGAUAGCCAGUUAUUUGUAGAACGUCAGUACCGUCGUGCAAUGUUAUCGCAUGAGCUGAUUGUCAGGUAACUGAUGGUAGUGCACACUAUAACGUAACUUGUACAAGUAGUUCCUUGGUCCUUUUCUUACUUUAAAUUAUUUCCAUAUUAUUCCGAUAAUUAUUGGACUCAAGAGUGCUAUGUUGCAGCUAGCCCAUAACCAUGACAGCGCUGACUUUUUCGGUCCAGUUUUCAUAUGGAUUCGUACACAUUUGGGUGGUUUUUCCUUCACAGAAUUUUGACACUUCGUUCAACCUGUAGACUACGGCGAAUUAUGAUCGCGAAAUUGUGGAAUCAUGCUUCCAUGGAUGCUCGCACUAUGCUCGCAAACACUUUAUAAUAUAAACGAUUUUGCCAGCAUUAUUUUUUAUGCUUUGUAACUGAUCCUUUGAAAGCUUUGGGAUGCGGGGAUAUUUUAUUCAGUGUGUUGGAAUUGUACGUAUGGAGCCUGGAA